rnacentral:tRNA from 1 species
GUAUAUAUAGCUCAGUGGUAGAGUGUGUGCUUAGCAUGCAUGAGGUCCUGGGUUCAAUCCCCAGUCCCUUCA